GAAAGUCAUCAAAGAAACAAAGUCUCUCACUUUGACAUCAGAAGUUCAAAGUUAUUUCAGUGCAACAGAGAAACAACAGUCUGAAAAUGGAAGGAACGAGGCUACAAUCAGUCGAACUGAUGCUGUUGACAGGCUUGUACAUUUACAUAAGUCCUGUACCAGCAUUUAAGAACAUUUCAGCAGGAGAGAAGGUCACCAACAAUACUUACUUGCAGUAGGACAAACCAAGAAGAGAAUCAACAAUUUUUAUGUGGUUGUGGGCAAGCAGCUCAUCCCUUGUGCAGGAACCACCUCCCUGAGUGCCAUUGAUGAGCUUUCAAAGUUCGUUACGUUUUUAACGUCUCCAAUGAAGAAUCUCUGGCAAAUGUCUAGAGCCUUUUAUUUAAUGCUAUCCUUUUUAAAUGAUCACCACUAGCACUUAUUUAUUUUUUACACAAUUGCCAUGCAUGUUGAUGAGCUCAGUAAUACAGAGCAGUGUUUGCAGAAAAGGAUUAAUAGCAGCUGUAACCUAUAUGUAAAUAUACAAAUAUGUACG